CAGAGGGUGCUAGCGUUAAUCGGAUUUACUGGGCGUAAAGCGUGUGUAGGCGGUUCGUUAAGUCGGAUGUGAAAGCCCUGGGCUCAACCUAGGAAUUGCAUUCGAUACUGGCGGGCUAGAGUACGGUAGAGGGCGGCGGAAUUCCGGGUGUAGCGGUGAAAUGCGUAGAUAUCCGGAGGAACACCGAUGGCGAAGGCAACCGCCUGGGCCUGUACUGACGCUGAGACACGAAAGCGUGGGGAGCAAACAGGAUU
rnacentral:rRNA from 1 species